rnacentral:lncRNA from 1 species
CACUAGGACAGCUGCCUGUUGAUACAGCAUUAUAACUUCAUCUUCUUUUUUUUUCUUAAUUGACAUUCAGAUCACUGUAAGACACUGGAAAGGUGGUAAUAGCAGAUGGUCAGUGGGCGACGUGUGACGGGAAUCUGAAAAACUUUUGCCACUCCACUGAAGGAUAAGGGCAGAGCAAUGAUCAGCAAGGUCCACCUGCACUCUGCUAGCAAUCUAUGCUGAACUAGCAGGUGUUUCUCCUAAGGACCACGGAGCAGCUGACCCCCUCCAGGUAGCUCAUAAGAGAGGAGAGGAGAGCAGACCAGACCACACCACCUCCACGUGGGAAAGCAAGCAGGAGUGCAGCAGCUUUAGGUGAUAACAGACUUCCCUUCUAGCCCUGAAUUGAGGUAAGUGCUGCCGAUGUUUUGGGCUACAGUUGAGGGAGAUCUGCUUGCUUGAUUUACAGUAAUAUGCUGUAGCCUGUUUACUGUGUUUGUGUUUAAUUGUCAUAUGUAAUGGUGCCUCAAAGGAGUUGUGUUUUGAGAUUAUUGUCUUUGUGAUCUGAGAUAUUUUGCAGAAGUUCAGUCUUCUGUUUGUGUGUUUGGAAUCUGUUCUUUAAUUAGCUGCCUUUCCCCAGGGUGACUGACCAAAACAGA